AGAGUUUGAUCCUGGCUCAGAACGAACGCUGGCGGCGUGCCUAACACAUGCAAGUCGAACGGAGUGAAGGAGCUUGCUCUUUCAUUUAGUGGCGCACGGGUGAGUAACGCGUAGAUAAUCUGCCUUGGACUCUGGGAUAACAUCUCGAAAGGGGUGCUAAUACCGGAUAAGCCCACGAUGGCGUAAGUCAUUGCGGGAAAAGGGGGCCUCUGAAUAUGCUCCUGAUUCAAGAUGAGUCUGCGUACCAUUAGCUAGUUGGUAGGGUAAGAGCCUACCAAGGCGACGAUGGUUAGCUGGUCUGAGAGGAUGAUCAGCCACACUGGAACUGAGACACGGUCCAGACUCCUACGGGAGGCAGCAGUGGGGAAUUUUGCGCAAUGGGGGAAACCCUGACGCAGCAACGCCGCGUGAGUGAUGAAGGCUUUCGGGUCGUAAAGC
rnacentral:rRNA from 1 species